rnacentral:tRNA from 1 species
GGGCCUUUAGCUCAGCUGGUAGAGCGCCACGUUUACACCGUGGAUGUCACGGAGAACCUGCGCGCCCA